ACUAUAAAUAUAGAUCCUCCCAAACCCUAACCUCAAUACAGUUCUAGCAGUUUCCUCAGCCUCCCUGUCCUCCUCUCUCUCGCUCUGCGAAAUCCUUCACUUUCUGUGGUAUGUUCAUCCGAAUCCAUCUUGCCUCUUUGAGUAGCCAUAUGAAUUCACAAUCAAUUUCAUAUUUGGUUUAGUUAGGAGGCAGAUAUUGAGCUAUAGGCCUUUUGAGGGGACUCUUAAAUGCUCUAAUUAAUCGUCCCCCAAGCAGCCUUGUACAUUUUCCUUUAUACCGUCUUAAAACUCAUGUUUGUUUGUUUCAAUGUUGCCUCUCGAAUAACCAGAAGGUUGAUUUAAUUCCACACCAUUUGGUUCAGACAGAGGCUUAUAGUAACACGCAGCAUAAAAGCCUUGCUUGAGGAAAGACCAAGUGUCCCCAUAAUAGAGUGGCACUUUGUCCUUGCGGAGGCUGAAAAAAGAGGUGUUUUCCUGAGUCAGUUUGAGGGAUAGGAACAAAUCACCUCUGUUUAGGGUUGGCAACGGGGAGGGGAUAUCAAUCACUGUCCCCGGCUUGUCACCGUUACGGGGAUAAUAAAGAAUCUCCGUCCCCUCCCCACGAAGGAAAAUCCCCUCUUCGUCCUCUCCCAAUCCUCUCUUUGUCUCCGCGGAGAAAAAUCCUCUCCCCAUCCCCUCCCUAUGUCCGUUAAUAUAAAUUUUAAUUCCUUCAUAUAUUUUAAUAAAUAAAAUAAAUCAUACUUUUUCAAAAUAUCACUUGUUACAAUAGUUACAAAAUAUUCAUUAUUUUUUUAGUUCAAAUAUAAAGUUUUCACAAAAUUUAACAAUAUGGAAUAAUCAAUCUUUUCAUUAGUAACUCUUCAUAUUGAAAUCAUUAUUAUGAAGAUUUUUUUCAUAUGUAUCCCUAUCCUCGAUUACGAAGAUUUUUUUUCAUUCCCAUCUCCGUUCCUUUUCCUGUUUUUAUCGGGGAAUCCUCUCUCCGUUAGGGUCGGGGCCCUUAAAGUCGGGCUCAAAUUGUCAUCCUUAUCUCUGUUCCUUUCCUAUAGAUGACUUCGGACAAUUUAAUCUAGUUAGUCAUUAGCAAUCAUAAGGUUAUUGCAUAAGUUUUUAUUUUCUUCUGAUCUUUCCAGAAUCUGAUCAUGUCUAGGCUUAAAGUUUGCCUUGCAUUUACUUUACAAUGCCUCAUUUGUUUUGGUAGUGAAUCUUGGUAAUAAUAAAACUAUAUCUACCCAAUUUUGAAUAUCCAAUUGGGUUUCCAGA